GUAUGGCAGAAAAAUAAAUUACGAAUUGUCUUAGAUAAAUAAAGUUACCGGACCUUUAUUACUUAAUCCAUAAACAAUUAUUGUUUCAUUCGAUUUAACACCACAAUAAAAAACAAAGCUUUUUCUAUUUAUUUUCGAAAAACGUUUUACAGGAAACCGAGUUCUUUUGUAGCAUUUUAGUUAGAGUUAUAGAAAAAUCUAUAACUCUUAUUUUGUUAAGUAAAAAAAAAAUCUUAUGCUCUUCUAAUUUUAGUCACCAAUAACAACUAUGUUAGGAAUAGUAGAAAAUGUUAUGUGUGGUAGAGAAACUGUUUUAGUGUGGUGUUGUAGGAGUACUGCGGGUCUAAGAAACUUUGUUUUCAUCGAUAAAUUAUUCUAUUGGUCUAUUAAAACAGUAUGAAAACUUUCCAGUAUUUAUAUUUGAUGUCUUUUUUUCAUUUUAUUUUAUAAUUGUAAUUUAAGUUUCAAAAAGCAGCAAAAACAACUUGAAAAGAACUAUCGCACAAUGACUCGCUUAAACACAGGAUUCCAAUUUCCUGAUAUACAUGGAAAUGCUGAUAUUGCUUUAACUAUAUUGUCUCUUUGUAAUGUGUAACAUCAUUUUUACUUAGGUUUGCCAAAUGACCGGCUUUUACAGAGUAGAAUAUAGUCCCAAACAUAUACAGUUCAGUUCUUUUACUGCUUUCUUCUUCAUAAAAGCCGGACGUCUUGCAACCCUUGAAUUUCCCCUUCUUUUUGUUUGCAUAAAUUACAUAAUUCUCUUAAUUAUAAAUACUCCAAAUCCGAUUUUCGAACAGCGUAUUUUAAAAUCUAAAGAAAUAUAAGCGAUUAAAGAUUACAUUUUGCAAGCCAACUGGAUGCUUAAACAACUCAAAAGACAGCCACGCGCUCAUUAUAGCUCUCUUAUAGUUUUAGAAUCUGAGUGAGUUACUGUUUUGAAUAUCUAAAAUCUUCAAAUUAAGUUUUUAUGAUUUUAAGUUAAAUUAGACUUAAGAAUAUGUGUAAGAAUUGAGAAUAAAUAUUUACUUUUUAUUUUAGAAAUGAACACACAAGAAAAUUUAAACGACGAUGAUGGUGACUUUUUUAGAAAUGCGCAGGAGAUAGUGGCAGAAGAGACAGAGUCUUUUCUGCCUUAUUUGAAAGAAUUCUUAGAUAAUCAAAGUUAGCAUUUUCUAUUUUUUCUUUUUUACUUCAGUUUUUUCGAAGUUUAUGUUACAGUAUAUAAAUUUAUGAACUAAU